rnacentral:rRNA from 1 species
CAGCAGCCGCGGGAAUACGAAGGGUGCAAGCGUUAAUCGGAAUUACUGGGCGUAAAGCGUGCGUAGGCGGUUUGUUAAGUCUGCUGUGAAAUCCCCGGGCUCAACCUGGGAAUGGCAGUGGAUACUGGCAAGCUAGAGUGUGUCAGAGGAUGGUGGAAUUCCCGGUGUAGCGGUGAAAUGCGUAGAGAUCGGGAGGAACAUCAGUGGCGAAGGCGGCCAUCUGGGACAACACUGACGCUGAGGCACGAAAGCGUGGGGAGCAAACAGGAUUAGAUACCCCCGUAGUCCCUGUCUCUUAUAC